GGGCGGGGUCUCUCGGGCGAGCCCAGGCUCUCACGCUCUCGGCGGCGGCGGCAGCAGCACCCGGAGCUCAGCUCGCUGUCUCGAUCGCUCUGUGCGGGGCUCUCGCCUCACUCCAGAGAGAGGGGCGGGAGGAAAGCGGCGCGGACGGAUGACGCAAGUCACCUAGCAACCGCUCUCCUCCCCCAUCCCUUCUCUUUCCGCUCCGCGGCUGCCUCCGCUGGCCUCUUUUUCCCUUUCCAAUCACCCCGCCCUGGGCGACUCUGGCGCGCGCUGAUGACGCCCGAGAGGAAGAGGAAGUCGGGGCUCGGCGAGCGGGUGGGUGCGCCCCGGGCCGCGGGACUCGCCGCCGCUGCUGCCGCCGCCUCUACGGCCGCGUCAGAACAGAAGAGAGGAAGGGGAGGAGCCGAGUGGAGCCCAAGCUGCCGCGUGAUCUUAUCCCCGACCCGAGGGCGGCGGAGAGGGCUUGCUCUUUAGCGGUCUCCUUCAGGGCAGGUGGUGACUGCUCCUUUGGGAGCAAAGAGGAGGCCCAGGCCGCGCGGCCAUACUCGGGCGCGCACCACCCGAAGCUUUGGAGAGCUGGUCUUGAUUGUUAAUCGGUAUCCGUUCCCGUCAUCAAGAAAGUGUGGCCCGUGUUUCAGGUCUGACUCAGGCUAUUUCCUUUCUAAAAUAAAUAUUAUUACUGUCGUGCAGCUUUUCCUACAGAUGUUAUCCUGGGAAGUAAAUUUAAGUAAAAAAAAAAACAUGAAGUUAAAUGUGUAGUUCUCUAGGAAGUGAAAUUUUAAAAAGGCCAGAAUCCUCAGAAGUCUGUCUUGAACCUGUCCUGGUGAAGAGUGUGAGUGAGAAUGGGAUACAGCAGCAGCGAUGAUGAAAGGAAGCAGAUUCCACAGUUCUGUCGCUGGGCCCUGGCAGGCCCUACCUCCUCUGGAAGGGGCAGUAAUGGAUAUUACAAGUCUUUCCACCUUCCAAGGAUAAGUUUUUAGAGGCAGAUUUUGGAAACUCAGGGUUUCUGCCACUACUACCACCACCAAAUGCAAAGAACAGACCGAACAAACUUCUAACUGGGUAAAUCCAAGUGCUCAUUUUUAUUUAAAUGCUGCAGAAAAAGUGAUGGGCUGGGGGAGGGAGAUGUUACAGAAGCUAGAAGAGACUCACAAAGUAGCACCUACCCAACUGUCCAACUGCCCUUGAUCCUAAAUUCCAAGAGUCAGGUUAACUAUCUUGCUUAAGCUACCCUGGAUUUGACUAUCUUUUCAUGACCUGUCCUGUCCAUAUUCUUCCAAAUAAAAUUCGGUAUCAGACCACCAAGAGAUGGCCGUACACGGCUACAAAACAAAUCUUUUUUUUCCCACCAAUUUCCUGGUGGAAAUUGAAGGAGUAAAAUGCACAAAUUUAGGGGAAGGAUUUUUGUGAUGCUGAGCACCUCAGAUUUUUAGUUCUGUGGGUUUUGGGGGAAAAAAGAGUAAAAACGUCCGAGCUCUGCAACCAGAAGGAUGCCUUCAGGAAAGCAUGUACCACGUGGGGUUUUUCAGCAGCCUGACCUAUGGCUCCACCUUAGAAUCUUUGUGCUGAGACACAGAUUGGCCCUCAGGAGAGCCGGGAGCCACCUACUUAGGAAGUAACAGCUGCAGUGAACUUACUGGGCAAGAUCCACCCACCUCACCACCCAGCAUGAUAACUGGAGGAAACAGCUGGAACUGUCGACUGGAGGGGAGGAAGUUCAUAUAUUCACAGCUAGAUCUGCAGUUCUUUAGUUCUUUUAUUUAUUAUUAAUCCAGAGGAGAAAACAGCUAGUUCAUUCAAAAUUCUCCUAAAAUCUGAAGUUGUAGGUAACAGUUCUUCGCUGAUUCAUCAAUUUGUUUGUGAUAAAGAUCUACAUACUAUGUUAAAAUAUAACAAAGGGAUAUUUGUAAAGGGGUCUUUUCUCCUACACUUGAAAAUGAGCUCUUCUAAGACAUUAAUCAGUGUUUUAUUAUCCCGCAUCAGUGGUUUUUACUGUCAGAUUUCAUAAGCUAAAUGAUAUGACAAAAUUUCUUUCUACAAAUGCCAUCUACAGUAUUUAAUUACUUUUAGCAUUUUCAUUGUGAAAUAUACAUUAAAAUGCAUAAAGCAGUAAUUCAGUAUAAUGAGUAAUCACAAAAGCAACCUCCAUCUGGCCAACCAGGUCAAGAAAUAGAGCAUUGCCAGCACUGCAGAAGUCCCCUGCUGACCUUCCUCAACACAACUCUUGCCCUCUUUUUCAGAGGUAACCAUUAUUCUAACUUUUGUGAUAGUCAUUUCCUUGCUUUCCUCGAUUGUUUUAUCACAAGCAUGCAUCCCUAGACAAUAUGUUGUUAAUUUUUCCCUUUUUUUUGAAUUUAUUAAGUGGAACAACAUAAUCUGUAAUCGGUUGUACUAACUGCUUUUGCUCAACAUUGUUUAUAAUCCGUGUCCUUUUCAGGUUGUUCACAUGGCUAUAGUUUGUUCAUUUUAAUUGCCGCAUAUUACAGUGUUCCACUGUGCAAUAUGCCAUAAUUUAUUUAGCCAUUCUAUUGUUGAUGGAUAUCUGGGUUAUUACAGUUUGAGACUGUUAUAAAUGCUGCUGUGUCUUCAUAUAUGUAUUCUAUCACGACUGAAUCAGUUUCUGUAUGGUAUAUACCUGGGAGUGGUAGGUGUUUCAUAAACUUGAAUAAAUCAUGCCCAACUGUUUUCUAAAGUGUUAUAAUCACACCAACCAUGUUUGAGUUGCAUUGCUCUACAUCCUUAACCACACUUUGUAUUGCCAGUCCUUUUUGCCAGUCUGGUGGGUGUGUAGUACUAUGUCAUUCUGGUUUUAACUUGCAUUUUGCAUUUCCCUGAUUACUGAUGUUGUUGAAGACCUGUUCACAUAUCAGCUAGCCAUUUGCAUUUCCUCUGAAGUGUGGUACUACCUUUUUCAUACCUAAUCUCUGAGGUGCCCAGUGAGCUGGUGUCAUUUGUUGUGAUUUAGUUUCCAUCAAGUAUGUAAAGGCAAUUUUUAUUCUCUGUGUAACUAAAUUCUAUUCUUUGUUGCUUUGUAUUUUAUAGGCAACUAUGUUUGUUUCCCCAGCACUUUUCAUUUCCCAUUUCCAUUCAUUUUAUAAAAGUCACAAUGACUCUUUUCUCCUAAAGUUUAUGCUAAAAUACAUGUGUUUUUUUUUUUUUAAUUUAACUAAUUAAUAUCAAUACAUACCACCCAUGUUACCACCUGGAGUAUUUUCCCAACAUAUUCUUUUCGAUUGUUUUUAUCAUUCUCUUACCUGUCAAUUCUUUGUUUAGAGUCAGUGAUAUUUCAAAGCUGGAAGAAGAUGAGACCCAGAGAAAUUAAGUGACUUACCAGGUCAAAAGAGCAAUUAACUAGGAAGCCUGGACUUCACCCCAAGUCUUCAAAUAGUAUAUGCCAUUAUACCAUACCUACGCUCUCCAUCUUCUGGAACAGUAAGGUAAAUUAAUUCCCAUGGUCUGUAGAAUAUUGUUCACUUCCACAUGGCAAUAUUGUUCACUUCCACUUUUUCUACCAUUCAAUAAGGAUAUUUUAAGCCCAACAGCUUUAGGAUCUGAAUGAGAUUGAUACAAAUAAAAAUAUAAGUAUAAACUUUAAAGGUUAAUAUAAAUGAUAAUACUAAAAGGGAUUAAAUGGAAACUUGCUUUAAAAAAAGUAAGGUUUCUCCACUCCCAAUCUGUCAUUAGGCCCCAUUGCCUCUUCGAAGAAUUAUCAUACUUCUUCAAUAUCUGAGAAAAGAAUUACAAAAAAGAAAACAGUAGUUAGAAGUAUCAGAUGAUGUGAGAAAGGCCCUUGGAUUUGAUGAUCAGGUCCCUAAUAAUUUCAUAAUUCUGUUAAAAAUGUUGGAGGAUAUCAGAAGUUAACAUUUUUUAGAUACAAGAAGAAAUCAACCUAGAAAACUUGACAACCAUUUGACAGGAUUGCCUGUGUUGCUUUCAUAGUUAUCCGGGUUUGUAAAAAGAGUGUUCUGAAAAUGAAUGAUAGAUAAUUUCUAGCUUUAGUAGAAAAUAAAUAACUUUGAAUCACUUGAAAUCUUUGACAAUCUAACCUUAAUGUUUGAGAAGAAUUCUUUAUUUGGUUUUGUAAUUAAUAGUCACAAAGUAUUUUUAUCUAAUAAAAUCUAUUAUUUUUUAAAUUAAAUAUUGAGUGAAAACAGCCUUAAAGAAAUAAAUUCAUAAAAAUGUUAAGGUAGGCUUAGAUGUAACUUAACUCUGAACAGCAAAGGCUUUAAAAUGUUCUGGCUUGAAAUUCAAAGUCGAAUAAUUAAAUUAACAAUAGAGAGUUGUCAAAGGUACAAAAUACAUAAAUAUUAUUCAUAUAUUUUUGUGUUAACUUCAAAAAAGCAGUGAUAUAUAGAAAACAUAAAAGUGUUAGAAUAUCUAUCAUAAGCAUAGAGUUUUCACAUUUACUUUACCAUUCAGUGAGCAAAAACUGACUUGUCACCUACUGUUUCCUAGCAGUGGACUAAGUGCUUGCUGAACUUAAAAUGAUGUAAAGAAAACAGACCUUGUCCCUAGCUUCAUGGAGCUUACAGUCUAGUGCCUAAUAUGUGCCAGGCUUGAGACUUCAGACCAGUCGCUAUCAUCUAAAACUACUUGACCUAUAUUAUCAUUGAUGAUAUAUUCAAUGAAUAAAUGAGUGACUGCUUUUAUUCUCUUGGUAAGCAAAUAAAUGACCGUGUGCUAGAAACCUUCAAUCAUUGUCAUUUGUCAGAUUUUCAUUUUGAAAAAUACAGAAACAUUGAAAGAAUAAUAUAAUGUGUGUUGGUACAACUUUCACCUGGAUUCGGUCCUUGUUAACCUUUUGCUAUAUUUGCAUUAUUUACUUUUUCCAAACCAUUUGUAGGUAGGUUGCAAGCAUGAUGCUUCACUCCAAUACUUCAGCAGGUAUAACCUAAGAAAAAGGAUAUACCUAACUCCAACCUUUAAUCAGAAUUAAGAAAAUUAACAAAUUUGCCUAGUUGUCCCAAUAAUAUUUCAUUCCAGCAUUAUUGGAUAUAAGUGACAGAUAACACUGUACAAGUUUUAAGGUGUACAACAUGAUGAUUUGAUAUACCUACAUAGUAUGAAAUGAUUACCACAAUUAGGUUAGUUAACAUAUCUGUCACUAAACGUAGUUACCUUUUUUUUUGGAGUGAUGACAGCAUUUAAGAUCUGCUCUCUUAGCAAAUUUCAAGUAUAAAAUGCCAACAGUAUCUUUGAUAGUUUGUGCCCUCCCCCCAACUUAGAUCCAAUCAAGGUUCACACAUUGCAUUCUUCAAUCGUAUUUAAAUGUAUAUAUUUUAAGAGAAACUAAAAACUGGACUCUCCAAUAUUUGGAAGUAAUUGCUUUACAUUGUAUCAUUUCUCUCUUUUUUAAAAUGUUAUAUUUUAACAGUUUAAACUUUUAACAUUUUAAACAUUUAACACAACUAAGAGCGCGAUAUAUUUUUAGUAAAGAAUGAUGUUCCUUUCUUCAGUAGCUUUUCACUCACCUUUGACAUCACUUACUGCAGCAUUAGUAGUUGGGGAGCCAUUCUGAGAUACUGAGCAUUCCACUGUUUUCCAGAAGUAAAUGGUACUGUUUCCUUCCAUCUUUGCCCCACCAUGCCUUCCCUGGAAGGCCCUGACCUUUCUCCCAGCCAAAACCCUUAUUACCUCUUUCUGCCCUCCUUGUAUUUGUCCUAACUUCCCAGGAACCCUUUCAAGAGCGUCCAACUUUACAGUUGUUAUUCUCUACCCACAGCCUCUGCUUAGCUCUACCAGAAUCUGCACCUAAUUUCCUUUACUAAAACCCUUUCACUAGGAGUCUUUUGCACCAAAACCAACCACCACCACGUGCCACCACUAAUGUGUACUUAGCUGAUUCCAAAGGGAAGAGAGGACCUAACAUUUGUCAGGAACCUAGACCAUGGCAAUUAUUUCAUUUGAUCUUCACAAAUCGCUGCAGAGUAGGUGCAAGUUACCUAUAUUCCUUUUUCUUCUUCCUGUCCACAUAGGAAAACUGUAUUUCCCAGCCUUCCUUGCAAUGAGGCUAGGGCCAUAUGAUUAGUCUGGCUAGUAGGAUGUAAGCAGAAAUAAUGUAUGUCACUCCCAGGCUUGAUCCCUAGUCUCCCAUGAGAUAAUCAGCUUGUGAUUUCUAACCUUUCUACAAUGCUUAGAAGCAAAAGAUGUUAAGAUAUUGGAUCACAUGCUAGGAGUCCAGAUUCCUUAGUUGAUGCUUGAAGGAAUGCUGUCUGGCCUCAGUCGGGCAGUAAACUGAGCAAAAUAUAAAAUUGUAUUGUGUUAUAGUGCUGAUUUUAAUACCAAGUUUGCAUUUAGAAACUUAAAGAAUAGCAAGUCAUUAUGUUGGUAUUCUAAUCUAGUGAGGUUGGGUUAUAUAAGCUUUUGUAACCAGACAUGAGAAUACAACCCCCUUUUGUUAUACUGUUUUUAUAGAAACAUGAGUUCUGAGUUCCAAUCCAAACUAUGAAAGAACUUCUAGAGAAGAGAAAACAAAAAUCUGAGGGAUUGACUCUUCUGUGAAGGUCCCACCACAUAUUAGAACAUGAGCACCCUGCAGGUUUUAAAGGCUUCUUUUUCAACAAAUAGGCUUCCAUUUCAAAGAUGAAGAUACCUUUUAUUCCAGGGUUGACUUUUUUUAAUAACCAAACCAACUGUUCUCCAGCCUUUUAUUCCAGGGUUGACUUUUUUUAAUAACCAAACCAACUGUCCUGACCUACCAUCUUAUAUGCUAUGACAAGUUCAGAGCCAGCUCUGUCCACUGUUGCUGGCAUCCUCUUAUUAUUUCAAUGCCUUGCCCCCAAUGGACACUAUUAUUUCAUCAACAUAAGACUAUUCUAUGUAGUGGACUUUUAGGUUGAGGGGUAACAAAUUGUUAUAGCAUAGAACUAACUUAUGAAACAACUUCAAAAUCGAUGUCAGAUAUAACUGUUUCUAAAAUGGUUGGCCAAUUGCCACCUUGGAGAAUUUUUACUGAUUAUGUCUUUCCUGAAGUCUCUUCCAAUUGCUCUAUAUUUGCUACUCAACAUCCUCCUCACAUAUCUCCAGAGCAAUCUCCUUAAACACAUUCCUUUUACUUUAUUGAGCAAGCAAUUCAACUCUUGGGUCUCCACCUUUUACAAAAAUUUCAUGAAACUCAUUGUUAAUAAUGUAUACAGUUGCCAAUAACAGAAAACCCAACUAGCAUAAACAUGUAGAGGGUUCACUGUUUUUUAAUAAAAACUCCACUAAUAGGGAGCCCGAGGUUGGCACAGUGGCUCAGUUAUGCCAUCAAGUACUCACGCUUUGUUUCUGUCUUUGCCAUCCUCAUUGCCGUUCAUGUCAUGUGGACCUUUAUCACCAAGCUUGUUGCCUAAUGACUCACAAAUAGGCUGCUGUUCUCAGGAGUCACAUCCACAUUGCAGACCGGAAAGAAGAAGAAAGGGUGGUGCCUGUGCGAGGAAAAGGUGAUUCUUUUCCCAGCGUUUCCGGCACACUGCUGUGUAGGUCUCAUCGACAGAGCGGUGCCUUCGAGACACACUGAGAUCUAAAGAAGGCUGAAAAGAACUUUAGCUGGAAAUUGCGGCCCAAAGAGAAGUUGCAAUUCUGUUAAUAAAGUGGGAAAAAUAAAGAGUAAGAAAUUA